GAGGGUUUAGCUGAGUGGUAGAGCAUGUGCCUUUUGCUCACAAGGUCCUGAGUUCAAUCCCCAGUGCCUCCA
rnacentral:tRNA from 1 species